rnacentral:pre_miRNA from 1 species
GAGGUGUUUUCUGAAUUGCGUUAUGUUCACUUCACACAGGCAUAACUCAGUCAGACGCCUGUA